rnacentral:rRNA from 1 species
AUGGCUCAGAGUGAACGCUGGCGGCAGGCCUAAUACAUGCAAGUCGAACGGCAGCACAGCAGAGCUUGCUCUGUGGGUGGCGAGUGGCGGACGGGUGAGGAAUACGUGGGAAUCUGCCCAGUCGUGGGGGAUAACGUAGGGAAACUUACGCUAAUACCGCAUGCGCCCUUCGGGGAAAGCCGGGGACCUUCGGGCCUGGCGCGAUUGGAUGAGCCCACGUCGGAUUAGCUAGUUGGCGGGGUAAAGGCCCACCAAGGCGACGAUCCGUAGCUGGUCUGAGAGGAUGAUCAGCCACACUGGAACUGAGACACGGUCCAGACUCCUACGGGAGGCAGCAGUAGGGAAUAUUGGACAAUGGGCGCAAGCCUGAUCCAGCCAUGCCGCGUGAGUGAAGAAGGCCCUCGGGUUGUAAAGCUCUUUUGUCCGGAAAGAAAAGCGCCGGGUUAAUACCCUGGUGUCCUGACGGUACCGGAAGAAUAAGCACCGGCUAACUUCGUG